rnacentral:rRNA from 1 species
AGAGAUAGAGGAGUGCUCGAAAGAGAGCCGUAGCACAGGUGCUGCAUGGCUGUCGUCAGCUCGUGUCGUGAGAUGUUGGGUUAAGUCCCGCAACGAGCGCAACCCUUGUCAUUAGUUGCUACAUUCAGUUGGGCACUCUAAUGAGACUGCCGGUGACAAACCGGAGGAAGGUGGGGAUGACGUCAAGUCCUCAUGGCCCUUAUAGGUGGGGCUACACACGUCAUACAAUGGAUGGUACAAAGGGUCGCCAACCCGCGAGGGGGAGCCAAUCCCAUAAAGCCAUUCGUAGUCCGGAUCGCAGUCUGCAACUCGACUGCGUGAAGUCGGAAUCGCUAGUAAUCGUGGAUCAGAAUGUCACGGUGAAUACGUUCCCGGGUCUU